rnacentral:rRNA from 1 species
CUCAUAAGUUAGGCGAUAUGAAGAACCAUUAAAGUUAUAGCGUUUACGUUAUAAAUUAUAAUGGUGUCACAAAAUCGGAGGCCCCGACUGUUUACUUAAAACACAGCUUUCUGCUACGAAUAAUAUCUGUGUAUAGAAAGCGAAUUUUGCCCAAUGCCAUUAAUAUAAAGUUGAUAAGCGCAUAGCGUAUUUAUUAACUGAAGUUCUGGUCAAUGGCGGUCUUAUCUAUGAGGAUCCUAAGGUAGCAAAAUUAAUUGUCCAUUAAAUGUGGUCCUGACUGAAUAAAGUAACGAUGGUCUCACUGUCUCUACAAGUAUCUCAGUGAAAUUGAAUUAGCCGUGCAGAUGCGGUUUAACUUCGGGUAGACGGGAAGACCCU